rnacentral:rRNA from 1 species
GACAGAGGGUGCAAACGUUGUUCGGAAUUACUGGGCGUAAAGCGCGUGUAGGCGGCUAAGUAAGUCGGGCGUGAAAUCCCACGGCUCAACCGUGGAAGUGCACUCGAAACUGCAUAGCUAGAGUCCUGGAGAGGAAGGUGGAAUGCUUGGUGUAGAGGUGAAAUUCGUAGAUAUCAAGCGGAACACCGGUGGCGAAGGCGGCCCUCUGGACAGUGACUGACGCUGAGACGCGAAAGCGUGGGGAGCAAACAGG